rnacentral:rRNA from 1 species
UGCCAUGGGCGCAGCCUGAUCCAGCCAUACCGCGUGGGUGAAGAAGGCCUUCGGGUUGUAAAGCCCUUUUGUUGGGAAAGAAAUCCUAUCGGUUAAUAACCGGUGGGGAUGACGGUACCCAAAGAAUAAGCACCGGCUAACUUCGUGCCAGCAGCCGCGGUAAUAC